rnacentral:sRNA from 1 species
AUUAAACAGAAUGUGCAUUGUACAUCUUUAAACAAAAUGUAUAUUAAUUUAUUAAAUCUAGUUGUCACUUUAUUUUGGACCUGCUGUGAUCUCGACAGGAAACGUGCCACAGAGCAGUAGUGCGCAGGCAAGACUUUUCAGUGACGCCUUGUGGAACGCAGUUCAUGAUGUCCUAGCAGCUCUUACUAAGGGAACUGUACAUUCUUUCUUUCUUGGCUAUUCAGACCUUACCAAGAACGUUAAAGGAAACAAGUAGAAAUCAGCAGUGGAGUGUCUGUGGUGACUUUUUCCCCCCUCUUAGUACUCUGGAGAAACAAUGAAGAUGGGCCAUCUCAAUUCCAGAUGUAAACAAAAAGUAAUUUUUAUUUCAGCAUUUAAUGUAACUGCUAUUAUUGUGGAUUCUUGUCUUGUGUAUUUUCUUUCCCUUAUUCAAGUAAUAUAGAAUAACUUUCCUUAAAAUGAUUUGAUCCAAGAUACGUCAUUUCUGUAUUGGCAAAAUGCCACUAUUAAAGUGUAAUUCUUGAAUUUAGGUUGAAUUGAUGACUUUUUAAAACAAAACAGAAACACUGGACAUUUCUACAUUGUAUUGCGUUUGCGAAUGUGCGUGAACACACGCACACGUGCAGGAGAAUGUAGUGCCAUAAGAACACUGGCGCUUUUUAAAACUUUCCAAGCUAGCUACUUAUUUUCAUUUUCAGGGUUUAGUACUCUAAGCUCUCUACUUACUGUGAGAAGUUUUCUACAUUGUAAAAUUAAAAGAUUAUAUUUAAAAUACUUCUUUAGGAUGUUAUUCAACCAUCAAAAAAAAAAAACCAACUAAAAUGUCUUACCACUAAAGUAUUAUUAAAAGCCUCAUUUGUGGAGAUUCGCUGACUUCCUUGGUUAAGCUGUCUUGUAUUUACUUAAUUUGUCCCCUCAACCAGGUGUUUUCUUUUCAGCCUGUUACUGUCCUGUGCCAUUUUUAAAAAUAGCCAUCAUGAGUAAGGGCUUCUUUAAAAUAAUCCCUGACAAUAUCUUUGGCAUUAAUACGACAUAAAGACAAGACAGUAUAUGUAUGUUUUCAUUCCUGUUUUGUACGAGUGCCUCAUUUUGUAGUCAUGAAAGUAACAUAGUACCUUAAAUAAAAAUGUAAUGACUAAUCUAAGGUCUAGGAAUAACUAUUGUAGAAACUAAGUAGAACACUUAGUUUGGGGUGUCAAUUUUCUAUCAACGCAAACACCUUAGGGUACCCAGACCAAUUUUAUGUAUAUAUAUUCUGAAAUGCUCCCUUUUUAAUGUGGUCAUUUGUUGCCUUCUAAGUUGAGAGGACAAAACUGAAUAAAGUGAAUGUUAGUUGUA